UCGAGCGAACAGAUAAGGAGCUUGCUCCUUUGACGUUAGCGGCGGACGGGUGAGUAACACGUGGAUAACCUACCUAUAAGACUGGGAUAACUUCGGGAAACCGGAGCUAAUACCGGAUAACAUAUUGAACCGCAUGGUUCAAUAGUGAAAGGCGGCUUUGCUGUCACUUAUAGAUGGAUCCGCGCCGUAUUAGCUAGUUGGUAAGGUAACGGCUUACCAAGGCAACGAUACGUAGCCGACCUGAGAGGGUGAUCGGCCACACUGGAACUGAGACACGGUCCAGACUCCUACGGGAGGCAGCAGUAGGGAAUCUUCCGCAAUGGGCGAAAGCCUGACGGAGCAACGCCGCGUGAGUGAUGAAGGUCUUCGGAUCGUAAAACUCUGUUAUCAGGGAAGAACAAAUGUGUAAGUAACUGUGCACAUCUUGACGGUACCUGAUCAGAAAGCCACGGCUAACUACGUGCCAGCAGCCGCGGUAAUACGUAGGUGGCAAGCGUUAUCCGGAAUUAUUGGGCGUAAAGCGCGCGUAGGCGGUUUUUUAAGUCUGAUGUGAAAGCCCACGGCUCAACCGUGGAGGGUCAUUGGAAACUGGAAAACUUGAGUGCAGAAGAGGAAAGUGGAAUUCCAUGUGUAGCGGUGAAAUGCGCAGAGAUAUGGAGGAACACCAGUGGCGAAGGCGACUUUCUGGUCUGUAACUGACGCUGAUGUGCGAAAGCGUGGGGAUCAAACAGGAUUAGAUACCCUGGUAGUCCACGCCGUAAACGAUGAGUGCUAAGUGUUAGGGGGUUUCCGCCCCUUAGUGCUGCAGCUAACGCAUUAAGCACUCCGCCUGGGGAGUACGACCGCA
rnacentral:rRNA from 1 species